rnacentral:rRNA from 1 species
GAUGAACGCUGGCGGCGUGCCUAAUACAUGCAAGUCGAGCGAACAGAUGAGGAGCUUGCUCCUCUGACGUUAGCGGCGGACGGGUGAGUAACACGUGGAUAACCUACCUAUAAGACUGGGAUAACUUCGGGAAACCGGAGCUAAUACCGGAUAAUAUAUUGAACCGCCUGGUUCAAUAGUGAAAGACGGUUUUGCUGUCACUUAUAGAUGGAUCCGCGCCGCAUUAGCUAGUUGGUAAGGUAACGGCUUACCAAGACGACGAUGCGUAGCCGACCUGAGAGGGUGAUCGGCCACACUGGAACUGAGACACGGUCCAGACUCCUACGGGAGGCAGCAGUAGGGAAUCUUCCGCAAUGGGCGAAAGCCUGACGGAGCAACGCCGCGUGAGUGAUGAAGGUCUUCGGAUCGUAAAACUCUGUUAUUAGGGAAGAACAAAUGUGUAAGUAACUAUGCACGUCUUGACGGUACCUAAUCAGAAAGCCACGGCUAACUACGUG